rnacentral:rRNA from 1 species
AGUGAACGCUGGCGGUAGGCCUAACACAUGCAAGUCGAACGGCAGCACAGUAAGAGCUUGCUCUUACGGGUGGCGAGUGGCGGACGGGUGAGGAAUACAUCGGAAUCUACUUUUUCGUGGGGGAUAACGUAGGGAAACUUACGCUAAUACCGCAUACGACCUACGGGUGAAAGCAGGGGAUCUUCGGACCUUGCGCGAUUGAAUGAGCCGAUGUCGGAUUAGCUAGUUGGCGGGUUAAAGGCCCACCAAGGCGACGAUCCGUAGCUGGUCUGAGAGGAUGAUCAGCCACAAUAGAACUGAGACACGGUCCAGACUCCUACGGGAGGCAGCAGUGGGGAAUAUUGGACAAUGGGCGCAAGCCUGAUCCAGCCAUACCGCGUGGGUGAAGAAGGCCUUCGGGUUGUAAAGCCCUUUUGUUGGGAAAGAAAAGCAGCAGGUUAAUACCCCGCUGUUCUGACGGUACCCAAAGAAUAAGCACCGGCUAACUUCGUG